rnacentral:rRNA from 1 species
AUUGAACGCUGGCGGCAUGCCUUACACAUGCAAGUCGAACGGCAGCACGGAGCUUGCUCUGGUGGCGAGUGGCGAACGGGUGAGUAAUAUAUCGGAACGUACCCUAGAGUGGGGGAUAACGUAGCGAAAGUUACGCUAAUACCGCAUACGAUCUAUGGAUGAAAGUGGGGGAUCGCAAGACCUCAUGCUCGUGGAGCGGCCGAUAUCUGAUUAGCUAGUUGGUAGGGUAAAAGCCUACCAAGGCAUCGAUCAGUAGCUGGUCUGAGAGGACGACCAGCCACACUGGAACUGAGACACGGUCCAGACUCCUACGGGAGGCAGCAGUGGGGAAUUUUGGACAAUGGGCGAAAGCCUGAUCCAGCAAUGCCGCGUGAGUGAAGAAGGCCUUCGGGUUGUAAAGCUCUUUUGUCAGGGAAGAAACGGUGAAAGCUAAUAUCUUUUGCUAAUGACGGUACCUGAAGAAUAAGCACCGGCUAACUACGUGCCAGCAGCCGCGGUAAUACGUAGGGUGCAAGCGUUAAUCGGAAUUACUGGGCGUAAAGCGUGCGCAGGCGGUUUUGUAAGUCUGAUGUGAAAUCCCCGGGCUCAACCUGGGAAUUGCAUUGGAGACUGCAAGGCUAGAAUCUGGCAGAGGGGGGUAGAAUUCCACGUGUAGCAGUGAAAUGCGUAGAUAUGUGGAGGAACACCGAUGGCGAAGGCAGCCCCCUGGGUCAAGAUUGACGCUCAUGCACGAAAGCGUGGGGAGCAAACAGGAUUAGAUACCCUGGUAGUCCACGCCCUAAACGAUGUCUACUAGUUGUCGGGUCUUAAUUGACUUGGUAACGCAGCUAACGCGUGAAGUAGACCGCCUGGGGAGUACGGUCGCAAGAUUAAAACUCAAAGGAAUUGACGGGGACCCGCACAAGCGGUGGAUGAUGUGGAUUAAUUCGAUGCAACGCGAAAAACCUUACCUACCCUUGACAUGGCUGGAAUCCCGGAGAGAUUUGGGAGUGCUCGAAAGAGAACCAGUACACAGGUGCUGCAUGGCUGUCGUCAGCUCGUGUCGUGAGAUGUUGGGUUAAGUCCCGCAACGAGCGCAACCCUUGUCAUUAGUUGCUACGAAAGGGCACUCUAAUGAGACUGCCGGUGACAAACCGGAGGAAGGUGGGGAUGACGUCAAGUCCUCAUGGCCCUUAUGGGUAGGGCUUCACACGUCAUACAAUGGUACAUACAGAGCGCCGCCAACCCGCGAGGGGGAGCUAACCGCAGAAAGUGUAUCGUAGUCCGGAUUGUAGUCUGCAACUCGACUGCAUGAAGUUGGAAUCGCUAGUAAUCGCGGAUCAGCAUGUCGCGGUGAAUACGUUCCCGGGUCU